GUGUCAGCAGCCGCGGUAAUACGGAGGGGGCGAGCGUUGUCCGGAAUCACUGGGCGUAAAGCGUGCGUAGGCGGCCUUGUAAGUCUGGGGUGAAAACUCAGGGCUCAACCCUGAGAAUGCCUUGGAAACUGUGGGGCUUGAGUACUGGAGAGGCAAGGGGAAUUCCACGUGUAGCGGUGAAAUGCGUAGAUAUGUGGAGGAAUACCAGUGGCGAAGGCGCCUUGCUGGACAGUGACUGACGCUGAGGCACGAAAGCGUGGGGAGCAAACAGGAUUAGAUACCCUGGUAGUCCACGCCGUAAACGAUGAGUGCUAGGUGUUGGGGGUUACCGCCCUCAGUGCCGAAGGAAACCCAAUAAGCACUCCGCCUGGGGAGUACGGUCGCAAGACUGAA
rnacentral:rRNA from 1 species